GGGGGCGGUGCAUCAGAGCGCAGGUGGCGCUGCGAGUUAACGUACUUGUCCUCUCAGAGCUCAGGUCUGAUGAUAAACAAGGUCUUCCACGUCAUGGGGACUCCCCAGUGCAGUCUGCACACCUAAAUAUGCCUGCUCCGAGUAAGGAGACUUCCCUCUUUAAGGUGAUUCAGAGCCUGUUAAAGUCAACAGGAGACCUUCCAAUGACUUCAGUGAAAAUUAGAAUAAAAUACAGACAUUAAGGU